rnacentral:rRNA from 1 species
UCCGAAGGGGGCUAGCGUUGCUCGGAAUCCCUGGGCGUAAAGCGCACGUAGGCGGAUUGUUAAGUCAGGGGUGAAAUCCUGGAGCUCAACUCCAGAACUGCCUUUGAUACUGGCGAUCUCGAGUCCGGGAGAGGUGAGUGGAACUGCGAGUGUAGAGGUGAAAUUCGUAGAUAUUCGCAAGAACACCAGUGGCGAAGGCGGCUCACUGGCCCGGUACUGACGCUGAGGUGCGAAAGCGUGGGGAGCAAACAGG